ACUGACAAGUUGUCCCUGUGGACUCCCCAACUCUAUGCAGAUGGGGAGGUGUCUUUGACAGUAAGGCUUUAAAAGCCCUAAAUUCAAAACAAGAUUAGAAAACUCACAAGUAAAGUUAUAGUUAUUUCAGGGUUCUGAAAGAAGCUAAACAUGAAGGGAGCCAAAAGUUUGGCAGCAGCAACCUUGGCUCUUCUCCUGGUCUUUUCUGUCCUGGAAAACUCCAGCAGCGCUCCGCAGAGACUGUUUGAGAGAAGAAACUGGACACCUCAAGCUAUGCUCUACCUGAAAGGGGCACAGGGGCGACGCUUCAUCUCGGACCAGAGCCGGAGGAAGGACGUCUCCGACCGGCUGCCUCCAGAAAGACGAAGCCCAAAUCCGCAACUACUAACUCUUCCAGAAGCAGCAGCCCUGUUACUGGCUUUGUUGCAGAAACCACAAGAAGUUGGGUGACCCUAAGCCUUACUAUCAUGGUACCUGUGUUCAGGGUCUCAACAAGAGCCUAAAUAAACAAGAUGGAGAAGAAAACUUUGAUCAAAGCAGAUUCCUGGGAGAUGGUCUGCUAAACUGGUGAAAAUAUACCAGAGUACUUCAAGCACAGAUCUGUUCUUGUUGAAACAUGAACCAUGUGAAUAAAGCCCCUGAACCCUUUCACUGUGAUCUUAGAAACAUGCAACACUAGUUUUAUUUUUCAGAAGCAAAAGAAAUUAGAGUUCUAAGCUGAGCCCAUCACUGCCUUCUCCUGCUGCUUCAGGUCCUGUUCAGAUUACUUGGUGUCUUACUCUUCAAUUCUUUUUAGAGCAUUUCUAAUAAGACUGAAAACUCUUUCGUUACAGCCAGAACCUGGCUUGAUCUUGGUUGUUGGUUUUUUCAUCCCAUUACCCACUUGGAUUCUGAUGUCACUCAGAAUCCCAUUUCCCUUUUUUCUUAUUCCUAAGGGUCAGGCCUGGAAGAAUGGGAAAAAGGAGAGUCUGACUCUAGUUUCUCCAGGAGAUUUAAGUUGUUAAGAAAGGAAGUGGGAAUGGGCUGACUGGGAAGAAGCCCUGUAAGAAUACUUGGGUAUGGUUGCUGAGAUGGGGAACAGGCAGUUCGGCUGGAGCCAGUGAAAAGUUUGCUGAAGCCCCAUACCUAGGAGUCCCCUGUGUGCCCUGAGGGGAUUUCCCUGAAAUCAUUUUAGAAACUUAGAUCUAAAAAAUUACUGGGACAUAAGCAGAUGGAGACUCUGCUUGUGUAUAUAUCAUACAAAGGGAGCCAGCCAGUUUGCUAGAGGUAACCCAUUUUCCAUACCUAAAGAGUCUCAGCAAAGUCUAAUCCUCUGCUUACUCUAACUGCCUAGAACUCUAGGCUUUAUUUGACUUUAAAGCAUUACAUUAAGUACCCUGAUAACAUAGUGCAUGUAAUAUUCCUAGUUUACUCCUCUUCAAAGUCAACUUAGGUUCAGUAUCACCUAAACACAAAUACAGUCACAUUCCUACAGCACGCAUAAUAAUUUAUUUGGAAUUACCACACGACCAUCAUGUUUUUUUACCUAAUCAAUUCAGAGUUGCUACUGAUAAAUGUUAUAAGUGGAAGGUAUUGUUAACUCUUAUUAUUGUCAGUAUUUAGCCAUUAUUUAGUGGCCAAAGAAUAUCUUUCUGUGAAUGUCUCUAACUUGAAAUUGUAAUUUCACUCUGUUAAGUAAUCAAAAUCAUGCUUAUAAGAUUUGUCUGGAUCUUGUUUCAUAAUUAAAUAAUGAAACUAUAUUCAAGUAAAUGUAACACUGAUCUCUGCCAAAAAUUAAUAUACAUGCAUUAAAAACUUCUGUGUGGCA